UCGUUUUCUCCUUCACGGGAGAGAACCCGCCGCAUUUUCUGUCUACCUUGAAAAAAUUAGAGUGCUAAAGGCAGGCUAAAACCCCGAGCCUGAAUAUUUCGUGCAUGGAAUAAGCGGGGAUGCUCUUUUCCGGAGGGCGGUCCGACCGACUGGCGACGUCGCUUUCGCUGUCGGUUUCGCCGGAGAGCUAGGAUUCGAGAGGAACGGUGGGGGGCGAGCGUACCGGGCGGGGAGAGGUGAAAUUUUGUGAUCCGCUCGGGACGACUCGAAGCGAAAGCGCUGGCNCCGGACGUCUUCCUUAAUCCAGAACGAAGGUGGGUGGAGCAAAGACGAUCAGAUACCGUCGUAGUACCGACGGUAAACGCUGCCGACCGGGCCGCGGACGAGGCUCGAGAACAGCGGUUAUGGACCCGUCCGUGGCGGCUUCGGGCAACCUGAGAGUUUACGGGUUCCGGGGGUAGUAUGGUCGCAAGGCUGAAACUUGAAGGAAUUGACGGAAGGGCACCACAAGGAGUGGAGCCUGCGGCUUAAUUUGACUCAACACGGGGCAACUUACCCGGUCCGGACAUCGUCAGGAUUGACAGACGCUCGUGCAGUUCUUUCUCGAUUCGAUGGGUGGUGGUGCAUGGCCGUUCGUGGCUGGUGAAGUGAAAAGUCUGGUUUAUUCCGCUAACGGGCGAGGCCUCGCCCUUAACUAGUCGGCUCGUGGUUCUCGAAUCGUAGUCUCCCUUCGGGGAGCAGGGAGAACAUCGGGCGAGUCGCAGCGAUCGUCGCUACUUCUUAGGGGGAUCCCGAGCAAGCUUAAGCUAGGUGAGAGAGAUCAAUAACAGGUCAGUGAUGCCCUUAGAUGUCCGGGGCCGCACGCGCGCUACACUGAAGACGAAAGCGCGAGUGCCUACGGUCUUGGUUUGGUCAGGCCGGGAACCCGCCCCGAGAGGGGAGGUUGGGGCUGUUCCUUCACGGGGGCAGUCUCGCCUACUGCGGGUUAACCGUGCCAAUCGUCUUCGUGCUGGGGAUCGGGGCUUGCAACUCAGCCCCGGAACGAGGAAUUCCGAGUAGGCGUCCGUCAUCAGCGG
rnacentral:ncRNA from 1 species